AUGAACGCUAGCGACAGGCUUAACACAUGCAAGUCGAGGGGCAGCACGGGAGUAGCAAUACUUGGUGGCGACCGGCGCACGGGUGAGUAACGCGUAUGCAACCUACCUAUCAGAGGGGAAUAACCCGGCGAAAGUCGGACUAAUACCGCAUAAAACAGGGGCACCGCAUGGUGAUAUUUGUUAAAGAAAUUCGCUGAUAGAUGGGCAUGCGUUCCAUUAGGUAGUUGGUGAGGUAACGGCUCACCAAGCCGACGAUGGAUAGGGGAACUGAGAGGUUGGUCCCCCACACUGGUACUGAGACACGGACCAGACUCCUACGGGAGGCAGCAGUGAGGAAUAUUGGUCAAUGGGCGGGAGCCUGAACCAGCCAAGUCGCGUGAAGGAAGAAGGAUCUAUGGUUCGUAAACUUCUUUUGCAGGGGAAUAAAGUGCAGGACGUGUCCUGUUUUGUAUGUACCCUGAGAAUAAGGAUCGGCUAACUCCGUGCCAGCCGCCGC
rnacentral:rRNA from 1 species